CCUGCCUCUGCCUCGCAAGUGCUGGGAUUAAAGGCAUGCACCACCACGUCUCAGCUUUUAGAAUCCUAAUCUUAUAACAGCUAUUAACUUGCUGUAAAUGGUUAAAGACAAUUAAAACAUGUAGAUUAAUAGUCCCCUUGUUUUCUAACCUAAUUUUGUAUUGAUUCUUUGGGAAUUUCACAUGACGCACCCCAAUCCUGCCCAUUUCCCUGUCCUCCCAUAUCUGCCCCUCAUCUCAGUAGAGUCCCCCUCAGAAGAAAAUUUUAAAAGUAUAGAAAAACCAAAAAUACCACUUUGUUCCUCUGCCUUUCCUGCAUCUCCAACACCUCUUCAUUCAUCUUAGUGGCAUUAGAAGCUGCGGCUGUCAACGCAGGUUACACUUUUGUCCACUCAGCUUUAUUUGCAAAUGUUCAUUGCAGUGGAUUGUUCGGUUUGGUUCAAGGCCUCUGGUUUCUAGUACAUGUCAAUACUGGACCCUCUUUGAAACUCCUCUCAGAUAUGGAGAUCCUGUGACUAUGGCUCUGCAGGAUCAGUCCCAUCAUGUACUCUGACAGAUCAUAAAUGGGGUAGAUGUUGGGGUGAACCAACUCAGAGCCUUGGAUGUGUAGAAGCUGAUUUGGUCAGUCUUGGCCACUGGGACCAUCCCCCCACCAGGGCCAGCUCUUCCACACUCCUGGUGAGGGGUGGGACCAUAUCUCCCAAGUGUGGGGCCCACUCUCCUGUGAGGGGCAGGACCAGAUCUUCUGCUGCAGGGGCCAGUGAGGGGCAGGUCCAGCUCCCUCAGGGUCAGUGAAGGGUGGUGCUGGUUCAGCAUGGCCCUUAGAUUUCCACAUGCAUGGUUCCUAUGGCUCCCUGUGGUAACAUGGGCCACAGAGAUCUACACAGAACCCAGCUGCAGAAGGAUCAUGGACCCAGACAUGGCCCUUGGCAGCAGCUCAGGCCUGGACCUUACCAUGGCUCCAGCAGCCAUCCAGGCCACCCAGAUCAGUAUGACCCUAGUAGCAGCUUGGCCCUUGGACACCAAUAUGGCCACAGGUGGCAGACUAGACCCCAGGCAUCUGUGUGGCAUUUGGUGGCAACACAGGUCAUGGACAUUAAUGCUGACCCUGACCCUGGUAGGACCAGGGGCCCAGGCUGCAGUUUGGGCUCAGAUGUCACCAUGACUAUAGGUGGUAGUACAAGCCACUCAGAUUGGUAUGUACAGCUGCAGUUUUGCAGAAUCUUUGUGUAACUAUGCAAAGAUGUGUUGCAUUUGUAUGGGACCACAGAUGUCAACACAUGUCUUGGCUGGGGUAGGACCACAGACUCAGACGUGGCCCUUGGCAGAAGCCGGGCCUGAAUGUCACCAUGGCCCUGAGUGGCAAGCUGGCUACCUACAUCAGCCUGUUCCUCACUGCAUUUCCUUCUUCAGUUCUGCCUCUCUCCACAGCAUAAAGAACUGGUCCACUUCUCUUUCUCUCCCUUUUUCUACCGUAUAUUUACUCGUCAUAAUGGUGCCGAUCCAUCCGGCACCUUGUGGCUUUGCCUGUGGAUGUCUUCAGCUGGCUUGGGCUGUGAGAAUCAGGACCUGUGGGUAUCUUCAGCCAACCCCAGGGUGAUAGUUACUUUAUGAAUGAUCAAAUUUGGUUUUGCAGAUGUAAUUCAUUUACAGGGACAAGCUUUAUUUAGCCUCCUGUAUAUGUUUUCAAGACUAAACCUACACCAACAAAGUUUAUUUAAAAUCAAGUAUAUUUAAUAUACAGCUCUGAAAACUUUUCUGAGAUGUCCUGAAUAUAGCAAAAUCUUACUAUUACAGAGAUCCUAGCUCCUAGAAUCACUAUCCUAAGGUCUCCAAAGAAGACAAUUGGGGCCUGAUGAUUCAACCUGGAUUGUGGUAAUGGGAACCUCUGGGCAAAACUUCCCCGUGCCUCACCUGCUGCAAGGGCCUGAACAAACCAAGAACACUGUUGUACUGACUGCCCUACUCUCAAAGUAAGGUCCAUCCCACAGGUUCCUCCCUACAAGAAAAUCUCUAAGACCUGGGCCCACCAGCCAAAGCUCGAUGCCAUCCUGUGUGACAAAGACCUACAACCACUGCCCCCCAGUGAUGCCAUUAAGACCACUGGAGCCCAGGGCAACAGUCUAGGGAAUGGUUUUAAUGGAACCCUGUGUAGGAACGCUAAGAAGCAUACAUGAUGACAGGUAGCGGCUGAGGAACUCUGGAUCAACCUGAAAUGAUGUGAGUCACGUUCCUAGUACAGAAGGAGCUUCAGCAAAAGAGACACAAGCCUAGGUGAGAGUUUCUCUCUAAAGAAGCCUCCAACCAACCCAACGUCCAGGCAUCCCAUGCUGUUUGUGAGAAUCCAGGGCCAAGAGUAAUUUCUGGAAAUGUGCUCCCCUUCUGGGACAGAGGCACAACAAGAAUGGUGACUGUUAGGAUUCAGACAUCUGUACUGGCCUGCCUUUGGUGUUCUGACGGGAUACCCCCUCAGCUUCAGCCACUAAGAGCACCACCUGUGUCUAUUCACUAUAUUUCCUUUUAAAAGGGCCCUGGCCACCUCCCAUCGCCCCCUCUCUGCUUUCUCCCAUUGCUUCUGUGCCCAGAGGCUGGUGGUCUCCUCCUCCUCCUUUUUAUGAUCCCUCCCCCUAAUAAAAAAACCCUCUGUUUGAA